CCUGACCCUAGAGGCUGCAGGUGUGGCUGCUGUGUCACAUGUCCACCUGUAGGUGGCAGAGAAGAGAGGCUAUGUCGUGUUCAGUGUUCUGACCUAUGAACACCUGAUGGAUUAGGAGUCUAAUAUA